rnacentral:sRNA from 1 species
UUGUGUUUAUGGGGGACUGGGAUGAGAACCUCAGGUUCGACCAACGCGCUUGCGCGUUGGAACGUCCGGAGCGAAGCGCAGGACGGCCCGAAGGGCGAGGGCCGCAGGCCCGAGUAAUCCUAGUCCCCCAGCCA